GAUGAACGCUGGCGGCGUGCCUAAUACAUGCAAGUCGAGCGAACAGACGAGGAGCUUGCUCCUCUGACGUUAGCGGCGGACGGGUGAGUAACACGUGGAUAACCUACCUAUAAGACUGGGAUAACUUCGGGAAACCGGAGCUAAUACCGGAUAAUAUAUUGAACCGCAUGGUUCAAUAGUGAAAGACGGUUUUGCUGUCACUUAUAGAUGGAUCCGCGCCGCAUUAGCUAGUUGGUAAGGUAACGGCUUACCAAGGCAACGAUGCGUAGCCGACCUGAGAGGGUGAUCGGCCACACUGGAACUGAGACACGGUCCAGACUCCUACGGGAGGCAGCAGUAGGGAAUCUUCAGCAAUGGGCGAAAGCUUGACGGAGCAACGCCGCGUGAGUGAUGAAGGUCUUCGGAUCGUAAAACUCUGUUAUUAGGGAAGAACAAAUGUGUAAGUAACUAUGCACGUCUUGACGGUACAUAAUCAGAAAGCCACGGCUAACUACGUG
rnacentral:rRNA from 1 species